UAACUUCACUUCAAUUCGCCAAUCUUCAAUAUCUUCACUCCAAUUCUCGAUUUCUCCUCCUUCACGAGCAUCCACUUGUAAUCUUCCAAAUCCUGUGCAAAAACACCAAUUCUUUGGGUAAUAUCAUCUCGAAAUCAACGGCAAAAUGCACUAAAAUAAAUAACCAAAACACACACAUCAAAUCCCCUCACACUUAGAUCAUACUUGUCCUCAAGUAUGAAAUAAGAAAAGACUCAAUGGUAGAAUUAGCUAUCUAAAAUAACUUCCCCCCGACACGACAUGCAAAGACUCACAUGACAACGAAAAGGAACAGACUCGACAAGAAGACGAAAAUACGAGAACAAGAAAAUAAGACACAACAACUAAACAAGCUAAACACACUAGCCAA
rnacentral:lncRNA from 1 species